rnacentral:snoRNA from 1 species
CAGUAUGAUGGAAACCAGGAGCUAUCGCAGAUUGUGAUGAAUAUGAUGUUGGAAAGGUUCGACUUGUGGAAUCUGGUA